GAUGAACGCUGGCGGCGUGCCUAAUACAUGCAAGUCGAGCGAACGGACGAGAAGCUUGCUUCUCUGAUGUUAGCGGCGGACGGGUGAGUAACACGUGGAUAACCUACCUAUAAGACUGGGAUAACUUCGGGAAACCGGAGCUAAUACCGGAUAAUAUUUUGAACCGCAUGGUUCAAAAGUGAAAGACGGUCUUGCUGUCACUUAUAGAUGGAUCCGCGCUGCAUUAGCUAGUUGGUAAGGUAACGGCUUACCAAGGCAACGAUGCAUAGCCGACCUGAGAGGGUGAUCGGCCACACUGGAACUGCGACACGGUCCAGACUCCUACGGGAGGCAGCAGUAGGGAAUAUUCCGCAAUGGGCGAAAGCCUGAUGCAGCAACGCCGCGUGAGUGAUGAAGGUCUUCGGGUCGUAAAACUCUGUUAUUAGGGAAGAACAUAUGUGUAAGUAACUGUGCACAUCUUGACGGUUCCUAAUCAGAAAGCCACGGCUAACUACGUG
rnacentral:rRNA from 1 species